rnacentral:lncRNA from 1 species
CUGAAUCCCUCUCACCGGUGCCGCCGCCGCAUCAAAACAAACCCAAUAAAGAACGUGACUGAUCCGCAAAACAUCAAAGCCAUCGAAAUUCCUAGAAGAAAGGAGGCAAAACCCGCAGGUGAGAUUUGAGGUGGAGGUAAACGCCGUAACGGUUGCUCCGGUGGAUGAUUGGAAAUAUUCAACGGCAUUGGUGGUGAACGGGGG